CGGACAGUAAUGACUACGAGGCAUUGACGCCGGGUCAUUUCUUAAUUGGUCGACCAUUGAACUGCAUGCCUGAGCCAUUUGAUGAGGACAUUUUGAAGUUAUCUGCUGCUAAUCGAUGGAAAAGAAUCGUCGCAGUACACCAUGCAUUUUGGAGACGCUGGUCGCUGGAGUAUUUGACGUUGUUGCAGGAGCGAAGCAAGUGGUCUUCGGUAUGCAACAACAUUCAACCAGGCAUUUUGGUCUUAAUUGGAGAAGACAACAUACCCCCAGGCCAAUGGGCUCUGGGUCGUGUACAUCAAGUUCAUCCUGGCACUGAUGGUAUAGUUCGUGUAGUCACCAUCAAAACCAAAUCAGGAUUGUACAAGCGCAACAUACACAAGAUCUGCCCAUUACCGAUUGAAGACACCGAGUAAAAUUGUUGGAAGGAGCUUCCAAGGCCGG
rnacentral:lncRNA from 1 species